AUUGAACGCUGGCGGCAUGCCUUACACAUGCAAGUCGAACGGCAGCAUGAUCUAGCUUGCUAGAUUGAUGGCGAGUGGCGAACGGGUGAGUAAUACAUCGGAACGUGCCCUGUAGUGGGGGAUAACUAGUCGAAAGAUUAGCUAAUACCGCAUACGACCUGAGGGUGAAAGUGGGGGACCGCAAGGCCUCAUGCUAUAGGAGCGGCCGAUGUCUGAUUAGCUAGUUGGUGAGGUAAAGGCUCACCAAGGCGACGAUCAGUAGCUGGUCUGAGAGGACGAUCAGCCACACUGGGACUGAGACACGGCCCAGACUCCUACGGGAGGCAGCAGUGUGGAAUUUUGGACAAUGGGCGAAAGCCUGAUCCAGCAAUGCCGCGUGUGUGAAGAAGGCCUUCGGGUUGUAAAGCACUUUUGUCCGGAAAGAAAUGGCUCUGGUUAAUACCUGGGGUCGAUGACGGUACCGGAAGAAUAAGGACCGGCUAACUACGUG
rnacentral:rRNA from 1 species